GGAUUGUAGGCUGCAACCCGCCUGCAUGAAGUUGGAAUUGCUAGUAAUCGCGGAUCAGCAUGCCGCGGUGAAUACAUUCCCGGGGAUUGUACACACCGCCCGUCACACCAUGAGAGUCGGGAACACCCAAAGUCCGUAGUCUAACCGCAAGGAGGACGCGGCCUAAGGUGGGUUCGAUAAUUGGGGUGAAGUCGUAACAAGGUAAC
rnacentral:rRNA from 1 species